rnacentral:lncRNA from 10 species
AAGCCCAAAGACGAACAUGAACUCAACAACGCCAUCCCAGAAGCCCCCAUGCAGAUGAUGGGGCCAACAGAGCAAUAUGCUAUCAGUGCUGACCUUGCUAAGGCCUGACCCCUCACUCCUGGAAAAUCUUAGACCCUUUCUUAGGAUACUCUUUCCUGAUUGGAACGGGGAGCAGCGUAGAAUACCUGCAUCAAGAUGCUUGGAUACAGGACGUAUAACAUUGGAAAGAAGCAAUUUACUCAUCUAGACUUGGAGAGUCUGGCUCAACAUCAAAUUAAAAUCAUGCUUACAGCUGGCCUUUUUGGGCUACAACCUCUUCUCACCCACCCCCAGCUGGUGUUCACGUGAGGGUGCUUUUGUGCAAAGCUGGAGAAGCACGGGAUGUGAAGGGCCUUGCUGGAGGCAGAGCUCUGCAGAUGAACCAGAAGACCGCACCCGAACCCCCGUUCAGCUGCGAGGCAUAAACGCCUUCCCCUGGUUAGGAGCUGAUGCCUCACUGUGAGCUUGGAUGGCAAGUUCAUAGAGGCCAUCCACACGAAUGGGUUUAAUGGGAUUUCUUUAUCAAUUGUUUAAAGAGAGUCUUUAGCGUCCCUCAAUACCCUUUCCAGGAGGAUACACAGAAUAAAUUCCUGCUUGACUUUUAGAUCCCAGAUAAAACUACUCCCGCAGAAGAAUUAGAAUUUCUUUGUCAUAUUGGACAAUAAAAAUUAUGUAACUUACU